GAUACCAUCCGGCGCCUGGUGCUGCCCUCUGUCCAGCUUGAGGACUCUGGCGAGUACCUGUGUGAAAUCCAUGAUGAGUCAGCUUCCUUCACCAUCACCGUCACAGAGUCAUACCAAAGUCAGGACAGUCCAAAUAACAACCCGGAGUUAUGCGUCCUCUUGAAAAAGCCGAAGACCCAGCGGUUCUGGUCUCGUCUCCCACCGUGGCGACGAACAGCUGGCACUGAGUAGCAGCUGCCCCAUAGUAUGGGGCCCCCAUUUCUCUGUUCCACCCUCCCUGCCAUUCCUCCUGCCUCUCCCCAGACUUCUUUAGCCAUUGACUUAACCUUCUUGGCCCUCGCAGUUUGCAACCCCCGUGUUAAACCAAUAAAUGCACCAAUAAACAUUCCAAGAAACCUCAUGAUAAAUAA
rnacentral:lncRNA from 1 species